GAUAAACGCUGGCGGCGUGCCUAAAACAUGCAAGUCGUACGGGCAAGCUCGGCUUCGGUCGGACUUGUCAGUGGCGGACGGCUGAGUAACACGUGGGUGACCUACCUCCGAGCGGGGGAGUAAGCGCCCGAAAGGGUGUCUAAUACCGCAGACGUCGACGGAUCGUACCGUCGACUCAACCUUCACGGGGCUUGGAGAGGGGCCGCGGCCGAUUAGCUUGUUGGUGGGGUAAAGGCCUACCAAGGCGACGAUCGGUAGCCGGCCUGAGAGGGCGGACGGCCACACUGGGACUGAGACACGGCCCAGACUCCUACGGGAGGCAGCAGUGGGGAAUUGUUCGCAAUGGGCGCAAGCCUGACGACGCAACGCCGCGUGGAGGAUGAAGGUCUUCGGAUU
rnacentral:rRNA from 1 species